UACGAAGGGGGCUAGCGUUGCUCGGAAUCACUGGGCGUAAAGCGCACGUAGGCGGCUUUUUAAGUCAGGGGUGAAAUCCUGGAGCUCAACUCCAGAACUGCCUUUGAUACUGAGAAGCUUGAGUCCGGGAGAGGUGAGUGGAACUGCGAGUGUAGAGGUGAAAUUCGUAGAUAUUCGCAAGAACACCAGUGGCGAAGGCGGCUCACUGGCCCGGUACUGACGCUGAGGUGCGAAAGCCAGGGGAGCAAACAGG
rnacentral:rRNA from 1 species